rnacentral:rRNA from 1 species
UACGGAGGGUGCAAGCGUUAUCCGGAUUUACUGGGUUUAAAGGGUGCGUAGGUGGGCAGGUAAGUCAGCGGUGAAAUCUCCGAGCUUAACUCGGAAACUGCCAUUGAUACUAUCUGUCUUGAAUAUCCUGGAGGUGAGCGGAAUAUGUCAUGUAGCGGUGAAAUGCUUAGAUAUGACAUAGAACACCAAUUGCGAAGGCAGCUCACUACGGGAUUAUUGACACUGAGGCACGAAAGCGUGGGGAUCAAACAGG